CUACGUGCCAGCAGCCGCGGUAAUACGUAGGGUGCGAGCGUUAAUCGGAAUUACUGGGCGUAAAGCGAGCGCAGACGGUUACUUAAGCAGGAUGUGAAAUCCCCGGGCUCAACCUGGGAACUGCGUUCUGAACUGGGUGACUAGAGUGUGUCAGAGGGAGGUAGAGUUCCACGUGUAGCAGUGAAAUGCGUAGAGAUGUGGAGGAAUACCGAUGGCGAAGGCAGCCUCCUGGGAUAACACUGACGUUCAUGCUCGAAAGCGUGGGUAGCAAACAGGAUUAGAUACCCUGGUAGUCCACGCCCUAAACGAUGUCAAUUAGCUGUUGGGCAACUUGAUUGCUUAGUAGCGUAGCUAACGCGUGAAAUUGACCGCCUGGGGAGUACGGUCGCAAGAUUAAAACUCAAAGGAAUUGACGGGGACCCGCACAAGCGGUGGAUGAUGUGGAUUAAUUCGAUGCAACGCGAAGAACCUUACCUGGUCUUGACAU
rnacentral:rRNA from 1 species